AUGAGUUGUAUCAGCUGGAACUGUCGGGGGCUUGGGAACCCCGAGACAGUUUAUGAGCUUCGCAGUAUUGUGAGGCUGGAAGGACCCACUCUACUUUUUGUUACAGAGACGAAAAUAAAAGCAAAAGGAGUAGAGGAUCUGAAGAAUUUGUUAGGUUUUGGAGGUUGUUUUGCGGUAGACAUUGCUGGCCUUAGUGGUGGCAUUGGUCUCUUUUGGUCAAAUGAUGUUUCAGUUGAGUUGAAAACUUCAGUCAAUGUCAUAUUGAUGUUUUGGUUAGCAAUAAAAUUCAGAACUCUCCAUCUUGGAGGUUCACUGGUUUUUACGGAUCACCGCGUGCUGAAGAGAGACAUAAUAGUUGGCGGUUAUUGCGUACUCUAUAUAACAUACCACAUGCGGCAUGGAUGUGCAUGGGGGAUUUUAAUGAGACCCUUUUUUCCAAUGAACACUUCAGUAGAGCUGCUCGUCCUGAGAGACAGAUGCAAGCUUUUCGGGAGGUGGUGGAUGAUGUUUCCUUCUAGGACUUGGGUUGGUCAGGCUUAG
rnacentral:rRNA from 1 species